GCCUGGCUGGCUCAAUCAGUAGAGCAUAUGACUCUUGAUCUUGGGGUCAUGAGUUCAAGUCUCACACUGGGUA
rnacentral:tRNA from 1 species